AGUGAACGCUGGCGGUAGGCCUAACACAUGCAAGUCGAACGGCAGCACAGUAAGAGCUUGCUCUUACGGGUGGCGAGUGGCGGACGGGUGAGGAAUACAUCGGAAUCUACUUUUUCGUGGGGGAUAACGUAGGGAAACUUACGCUAAUACCGCAUACGACCUACGGGUGAAAGCAGGGGAUCUUCGGACCUUGCGCGAUUGAAUGAGCCGAUGUCGGAUUAGCUAGUUGGCGGGGUAAAGGCCCACCAAGGCGACGAUCCGUAGCUGGUCUGAGAGGAUGAUCAGCCACACUGGAACUGAGACACGGUCCAGACUCCUACGGGAGGCAGCAGUGGGGAAUAUUGGACAAUGGGCGCAAGCCUGAUCCAGCCAUACCGCGUGGGUGAAGAAGGCCUUCGGGUUGUAAAGCCCUUUUGUUGGGAAAGAAAAGCAGCAGGUUAAUACCCCGCUGUUCGGACGGUACCCAAAGAAUAAGCACCGGCUAACUUCGUG
rnacentral:rRNA from 1 species